rnacentral:rRNA from 1 species
AGUGAACGCUGGCGGUAGGCCUAACACAUGCAAGUCGAACGGCAGCACAGGAGAGCUUGCUCUCUAGGUGGCGAGUGGCGGACGGGUGAGGAAUACAUCGGAAUCUGCCCAGUCGUGGGGGAUAACGUAGGGAAACUUACGCUAAUACCGCAUACGACCUUCGGGUGAAAGAGGGGGAUCGCAAGACCUCUCGCGAUUGGAUGAGCCGAUGUCGGAUUAGCUAGUUAGCGGGGUAAUGGCCCACCAAGGCGACGAUCCGUAGCUGGUCUGAGAGGAUGAUCCGCCACACUGGAACUGAAACACGGUCCAGACUACUACGGGAGGCAGCAGUGGGGAAUGUUAGACAAUGGGCGGGAGCCUGAUCCAACCAUACCGCGUGGGUGAAGAAAGCCUUCGGGUUGUGAAGCCCUUUUGUUGGGAAAGAAAUCUUUCAGGCUAAUACCCUGGGAGGAUGACGGUACCCAAAGAAUAAGCACCGGCUAACUUCGUG